CUCACGCUACCUCCACUCAAUUAUCCUUUCCACUCAUAAAACUCACCCACUUUCUUCUCUCUCAUAAAAUCAACAACUCAACGUCUCUCACUACACACUCACAUUCAGAAAAGAUUCCACACAAAUCUCUCUUCACGCUCUCAUCAAAACCUCACUCUCCUUUACCUCACAAAAGCCCACUCACAACAAAUUGACUCAUUCACUCAUUCACUCAUCACUCACUCCCUAACUACCUCACUCUCUCUCUCAAUUCUGACGCUUCAUUUUCUUCUUCCCAACACCACCUUCAAACCCACACUGGCAACAACGCCGUCUCUGUCCAUACUUCACCUACAUCAACCUCACUAACCUCUCCACCAUCUCUCCGCCACGCUUCAAACCUCUUCAACAUUUCUACCGCCGCCAUCUCAAUCGAAACCUCCAUCAACCUCACAAACCCUCGUCACUCCUCACCUUCAACCACGAAACACCGCUCUCCUCCGCGAUUCACCUUACCGUUCAUCUUCAUCAUCCUUCAACCACCGGCGAAACCCCUCGAAACACCGCUCUCCUCCGCGAUUCACCUUACCGUUCAUCUUCAUCAUCCUUCAACCACCGGCGAAACCCCUACCUCAACCGCGACGCCGUCACUCGCCUUUCCGUCACCACCACCAUAACCUCCGUCUACUACAACUCCAACACCCUUCGAUUUUCACCUUUUGAGCAUUUCUCCAGCAAAAAGCUAAUCCAUACAAGGGUAACAUGAUACAUGUUUUUGAAAGAAGAACACAGUUCAUAUGUUCCUUCAUAAAAUACCCAGAUCAAAAGAUACAAAAGCGGAUUAACGGAGUGAUAUUGUGACUCUGCUCGAGAUACUCCCAAUCAGAAUCGUUUUACCCUUUUAAGCUUCGAGAAGCCCUUCGACGGUUUCUAUAAGGCUCUGUUUGAGGAGCUUCACAAGUCGACCACUGUUAAUUUCUUUGUGGAGUUUGUGGGAGAAGUUACUUGUACGCAGGCAUGGCAAUCAGGAUUCACACCGAGCCCAUCAAAAGUCCAUCUUUUUUUCUUCUUCUGCAUUCGGUAGGAUUUCGAGCGGAUAAUACCUUUUGCAAACUUGAACUUGUUUGAGGUACUGAUUCCAUUUUCCUAUUGUAUUACUUUGAUAUUUGUUCCAAUUAUGAUUUAGUCAUAUUACAUAUCUCUUGUAUUGUGAGCUUCGAUUACGUGUCCAUUUGCAAUUUUGUAGACUUGUAAUUAUUGAUUGAUUUUGGUUGAUGUUUAACUCCACUUCUGUAUAAACCGAUUUUUUUGUAGACUUGUAAUUAUUGAUUGAUUUUGGUUGAUGUUUAACUCCACUUCUGUAUAAACCGAUUGGGUGAUUUCCGUUGUCUUUUGGUUUCAGCUUACAUGUUAAACUAGUGUAUGAUGGGAUAUUGAUGCAUUGUUUUUGCUUUGUUGUGUGAUACAUGAUAGGAGCUGAGGUAGCUGUACCUGUCUCUAACAUUGUAGUAUAAUGUAAACAUUGCAAAUAAUUGGGUUGCUGCUGACUUUUUCGAUAUUAUGUAAAUAUUACAUUGAGUUGUUGCUGUUUAAGCUCAUUACAUUUUAAAUCAGAUUUUUCUUAAAUCUAUGGAUUCGGUAAUUCAAUGUCGUUAUGCCGCCAUAAAUUUCUAUACAUUAAAUUGUGCAUUUUCCACCA
rnacentral:lncRNA from 1 species